AAAUUGAAGAGUUUGAUCAUGGCUCAGAUUGAACGCUGGCGGCAGGCCUAACACAUGCAAGUCGAACGGUAACAGGAAGCAGCUUGCUGCUUCGCUGACGAGUGGCGGACGGGUGAGUAAUGUCUGGGAAACUGCCUGAUGGAGGGGGAUAACUACUGGAAACGGUAGCUAAUACCGCAUAACGUCGCAAGACCAAAGAGGGGGACCUUCGGGCCUCUUGCCAUCGGAUGUGCCCAGAUGGGAUUAGCUUGUUGGUGGGGUAACGGCUCACCAAGGCGACGAUCCCUAGCUGGUCUGAGAGGAUGACCA
rnacentral:rRNA from 3 species